rnacentral:rRNA from 1 species
AUGCGUCCCCCGCUCCUCCCCCGCGUCGCCUCCGCCGCCUCCGCCUCCGCCACACCUCCUCGCCGCCAGCGCACCGUCAGGCCGCCGAUGCCGUCCUCCCCUGCCCUCCUCUCCUCCACCCCACCGCCGGCCGCGCCCGUAGAAACCCCCAAGCCCGAGACCACCCAGCAGCACCCUCCUCCCGCCCGCCGCCGCCUAACCCUCGCCGACGAGGAGUGGCACCCGCUCCCCCUCUCUCUCGCCGAGCUCUCCCUUCCGCUCACCCUCCCCACCGGCCAGACCUUCCUCUGGCGCCGCACCUCCCUCUCCCCGCUCCGAUUCACGGCCGCCGUGGGCCCGCACCUCGUCUCCCUCUCCCACCUCCCCGACGACGACCGCCUCGCCUUCCUCCUCCACAACGACGACCCCGCCUCCCCCUCCUCCUCCGUCGCCGCCGCCCGGGCCGCGCUGUGCGACUACCUGAACUCCGCCGUCCCCCUCGCCGACCUCUGGGUCCAGUUCACCGCCGCCGAUGCGCGCUUCGCGGAGGUCGCGGCGCGGCUCGGCGGCGGCGGCGCCCGGGUGCUCAGGCAGGACCCGGUCGAGUGCCUGUUCCAGUUCCUCUGCUCCUCCAACAACAACAUCGCGCGGAUCGAGAAGAUGGUCUGGACGCUGGCCGGAUACGGGGAGCGGCUCGGAGAGGUCGGCGGCUUCGUCUUCCACCGGUUCCCCACUGUCGAGCGGCUCGCGCAGGUGUCCGAGCAGGAGCUUCGGGAGGCUGGGUUUGGGUACAGGGCAAAGUAUGUUGUUGGCACAGCUAGAAAAUUGAUGGCCAAGCCUGGUGGAGGUGCAAAAUGGCUUGCCUUGCUGCGUGACAGGGAACUUCCGGAGGUAAUUGAGGGUCUUUGUACCCUGCCAGGUGUUGGUCCAAAAGUUGCAGCCUGCAUUGCUCUGUUCUCUCUUGAUAAGAAUCAGGCUAUUCCUGUUGACACACAUGUCUGGAAGGUUGCUACACGAUAUAUGUUGCCUGAGCUAGCUGACAAGAGCCUGACUCCAAAACUGAGCAUUGUUGUCGCCGAUGCAUUUGUAGCCAAAUUUGGCGAGUAUGCUGGUUGGGCGCAGAAUGUUCUCUUUAUCGGCCAACUACCUGCUAAAAAACUUGUGGCCACCGAAGUUACCAGUGACACCGCGAAACCUACCAAGAGGAAACGUGCGAAGAUGGUUGAAAUACAGGCAUGA